rnacentral:tRNA from 1 species
GCCCGUGUACCUCAGUCGGCAGAGGGUCUCACUCGUAAUGAGAACGUCGUGGGUUCGAUUCCCACCGCGGGCU